rnacentral:rRNA from 1 species
AUACGGAGGGUGCAAGCGUUGUCCGGAUUUAUUGGGUUUAAAGGGUGUGUAGGCGGUGUAUUAAGUCAGUGGUGCAAGCCUGCGGCUCAACCGUAGAACUGCCAUUGAUACUGACACACUUGAGUAUGGACGAGGUAGGCGGAAUUUAUGGUGUAGCGGUGAAAUGCAUAGAUACCAUAAAGAACACCGAUAGCGAAGGCAGCUUACUAGGCCAUAACUGACGCUGAGGCACGAAAGCGUGGGGAGCAAACAGGAUUAGAAACCCUAGUAGUCC